rnacentral:lncRNA from 1 species
AUUCUUCCAAAAUAUAAAUACAAGCACUCAAACCUCACCCUAUACAUCAUCUACUCUCAAAUAUAAAAGGGUGACGGCUAGUGCAAAAAGGAAGGUAGCUAAUGCGACUAAAGCGCCGGGCCCUUACCGCGAUCCUCACGCUCACCGGGGACACCCGAACUGGAACCUGUGGUAAAAUGGGGGUGAGAACUAACUUCCUUAAUUCCCAGUGGGUUCGGCCGCCGACUCCGCCGAUCUCCCUACUAGGUCCAAGCGGGCACAAGUAGAUAUACCAAUAGAUAGAUAAUAAGGAAAACGGUAAAUAACAGAAGUAAAGCUACUCUACUAUGCCCAAUCAUAAUUAUAUGAAUGCAUGUACAAUGGAAUGGGAGAGUAACUAACCUGUUAUCAUGUCCAAAGGUGAAGCUAUUCACUCGUUCAUUAACCUCAUUUACUUGUUCAUUAAUCUCAAGGCUUACCCGAAGGCUCGCCUACAGCUCACUAGCCAUCUCGACACGUAGGGAGAAUCAACUCACACUACGGACCCGAGACCGUCUGGCGGGGCCAUAUAGGCAAUCCCUGGCGUGACCAACAUCCGGAGCGCACUACUUGUGUGGGGCUUCCAUCACAAGAUUUAGAAACAGACCGUGAGCAUGAUCCAAUCCUCGUCUCGAGAAUACCCUAUCCUCUAGGGUUACAAUCAUCAUAUAGUCCAUAGGUUUCACAUAUACUAUUAACUAGAUUGCCAAUUGUCCGUUUGUUUACUAUCGACUAGGUGCCACUCGUUCAUGGUUUACUAUCGACUAGAUGCCACUCGUUCAUUGUUCAUCAUUGGAUUAAUCGUUGAGCCCAUCAUUUUCUCUACACUAUAGGAUUCACAAAACUCGACCCAAUCCUCACUGGUCCUCUAUAUCAAGUAUCCAAUACAUGCUACGAUAUCAUCAAGGAAGGUAUAAGGAAAGGCAAUGCAUAAUAUCCUAUAAUGCAAUAAUACAAGAUGCAAAAUCGAAAUGUACUAAGACAUAGGAGGGAGCCCGAUUGCUUCGGGAUGGACACCACCCACCUCUUGGCGAUGCCGCGAU